AGCUCGUGUCGUGAGAUGUUGGGUUAAGUCCCGCAACGAGCGCAACCCUUAUCUUUAAUUGCCAUCAUUCAGUUGGGCACUUUAGAGAGACUGCCGGUGUUAAACCGGAGGAAGUGGGAUGACGUCAAGUCCUCAUGGCCUUUAUGCUUAGGGCUACACACGUGCUACAAUGGGUGGUACAAAGAGAAGCCAACUCGCGAGAGUGCGCCAAUCUCAAAAAGCCAUCCUCAGUUCGGAUUGAAGUCUGCAACUCGACUUCAUGAAGUUGGAAUCGCUAGUAAUCGCGGAUCAGCAUGCCGCGGUCGAAUACGUUCCGGGCCUU
rnacentral:rRNA from 1 species